rnacentral:rRNA from 1 species
CCUACGGGAGGCAGCAGUAAGGAAUAUUGGUCAAUGGACGAAAGUCUGAACCAGCCAUGCCGCGUGAAGGAUUAAGGUCCUCUGGAUUGUAAACUUCUUUUAUAUGGGACGAAAAAAGGUCUUUCUAGAUCCCUUGACGGUACCAUAUGAAUAAGCACCGGCUAACUCCGCGCCAGCAGCCGCGGUAAU